rnacentral:lncRNA from 1 species
GCCACAACCUAGAAUCACCCAGAAGAGAGUUUGAAUGAGGGACAUCCUAGAUGAGGCUGCCCUCUAAGGAGUCUGUGGGGGUUGUCUCGAUUGUUAAUUGAGGUAGGAAAACCCACCCUAAAAGUGGGGUCACCAUUCCAUGUGCUGGGCACUGAACUGUGUAAGAGCGAACCGUGCUGGCUAAGAGCAAGCCAGAAGACAGCAUGGAAGCAUUUGUUUCUCUCUGUUCUCCAAAUGUGGAUGUGAUAUGAAGACUGCCAGAGUUCCUGCCUGAGCUCCUCGAAAGGGUGGACUGUAAUCUGGAAUUGUGACACAAACAAGCCAUUUCCUCCUCCACAUUGCUUUUCACCCGAGUCUGUCAGAGCAACAGAAACGAAACUAGAACAUGUACCAAGAUGACUUCUUUCAGAAAUGUGGAACUAGGCCAGACACGUCCCUUCCUCUUACCUCCUGCAACGCCCCCAGAAGCUCCCCUGUUCUCCAUUUCUAUGACCUUGCUCUUUCAAGAAUGUCAUGCACGUGGGAAGACACAGUAAGUAACCUUUGUGGUUUUUAUCCACUAAACACAAUUCUCAAGUGACUCACCGGGUGACGUGUGUAUCAUUAGUUUAUUCUCUUUUUAGUUGUUGAGUAGUAUUCGGUGGCCUGCACUUAACACAGUGUGUUCAACCAUUGUUAAUCCCACAGGUGGAGAAUGAGACUACUACCACAAUUUAAAGCCAAAUGGGAAGCAAGCUUUAAUUAAAUACUGGCCAGGUAGAUGGGCUCUGGCCAGGUCCAUCUCUGGAUUCCCAGAAAAUGUCCACCAGUCACAUUUUGCAAGGGCUUAAUAAGGUAAACCCACAAUUCACGGCAUUUCCCAUCAGGUCCAAUCAGAUCCAAGCAUACAUCCUGACAUAUUUCUUGCCCGCAUACUUCCCAGCCACAGGAUGUUCUGUGAUCAAGAACAUCCGGUGCAGAGAGAUCAAAC